UACAGGGGGUGCAAACGUUGCUCGGAAUCAUUGGGCGUAAAGCGCACGUAGGCGGUCUGUUAUGUCGGAUGUGAAAGCCCUUGGCUUAACUGAGGAAGUGCAUCCGAAACUGGCAGGCUAGAGUACUAAAGAGGGUCGCGGAAUUCCCGGUGUAGAGGUGAAAUUCGUAGAUAUCGGGAGGAACACCGGUGGCGAAGGCGGAUCUCUGGGCCUUACCUGACGCUGAGGCGCGAAAGCUAGGGGAGCGAACAGG
rnacentral:rRNA from 1 species